rnacentral:sRNA from 1 species
UCGUGUCCACGAGGAGUUGAUGGCAUUU